GACGAACGCUGGCGGCGUGCUUAACACAUGCAAGUCGAGCGGAGCGGCGAACGGGUGAGUAACGCGUGAGUAACUGCCCCCCUCUCUGGGAUAACAGUUGGAAACGGCUGCUAAUAACGGAUAGUGGGGGAUGACUCGCGUCCUAUCAGCUUGUUGGUGGGGUAGUGGCCUACCAAGGCGACGACGGGUAGCCGGCCUGAGAGGGCGACCGGCCACAUGGGGCGUAGAUACGGCCCCAACUCCUACGGGGUGCAGCAGGGGGGAAUAUAGCACAAUGGGGGAAACCCUGAUGCAGCAGUGCCGCGGGCUGGAGGACGGCCUUCGGGGUGUGAACCGAUUUCAGCCAUGACGCGGUAGUGGCAGAAGAAGCACCGGAUAACUACGUGCCAGCAGCCGCGGUAAUUC
rnacentral:rRNA from 1 species